rnacentral:rRNA from 2 species
CUAAGAAUAUUCCGCAAUGGAGGAAACUCUGACGGAGCGACGCCGCGUGGAUGAGGAAGGCCGGAAGGUUGUAAAAUCCUUUUAAGUAUGAGGAAUAAGUUAUGUAGGAAAUGACAUAAUGGUGACUGUAGUACUUGAAUAAGCAACGGCUAAUUACGUGCCAGCAGCCGCGGUAACACGUAAGUUGCGAGCGUUGUUCGGAAUUAUUGGGCGUAAAGGGCAUGUAGGCGGUUAUGUAAGCUUGAUGUGAAAGGCAGGAGCUUAACUCCUGGACUGCGUUGAGAACUGCAUAACUGGAGUCACUGAGGGGCAGGCAGAAUUCCAGGUGUAGGGGUGAAAUCUGUAGAUAUCUGGAAGAAUACCAAUGGCGAAGGCAGCCUACCAGCAGAUGACUGACGCUGAGGUGCGAAGGUGUGGGGAGCAAACAGG